rnacentral:rRNA from 1 species
AGCAGCAGCCGCGGGAAUACGGAGGGGGCUAGCGUUGUUCGGAAUUACUGGGCGUAAAGCGUACGUAGGCGGCUUUGUAAGUUAGAGGUGAAAGCCUGGUGCUCAACACCAGAACUGCCUUUAAGACUGCAUCGCUUGAAUCGCGGAGAGGGGAGUAGAAUUCCGAGUGUAGAGGUGAAAUUCGUAGAUAUUCGGAAGAACACCAGUGGCGAAGGCGGCUCACUGGACGCGUAUUGACGCUGAGGUACGAAAGCGUGGGGAGCAAACAGGAUUAGAUACCCGAGUAGUCCCUGUCUCUUAUAC